GGUGUUGGCCGUACAAAUAUAAGCCAUGCAUGUCUAAUCACAAGCCCUUGAAUGGUGAAGCCGCGAAGAGCUCAUUACAACAGCCAUAGUUUAUUGGAUCUUUACCCUCUUACACGGAUAACUGCGGUAAUUCUGGAGCUACUACGUGCAUUAAACGACGACCUUACGGAAGUCGUGCAUUUGUUAGACCAAACCAAUCGGUCUUCGGACCGCCAUUUGGUGAACUCUGAAUAACUUUGCUGAUCGCACAGUCUCGUACUGGCGACAAAUCUUUCAAGUGUCUGCCUUAUCAACUUUCGAUGGUAGUUUAUACGCCUACCAUGGUUGUAACGGGUAACGGAGAAUAAGGGUUCGACUCCGGAGAGGGAGCCUGAGAAACGGCUACCACAUCCAAGGAAGGCAGCAGGCGCGCAAAUUACCCACUCGCAGAACGCGGAGGUAGUGACGAAAAAUAACGAGGUGGCUCUCUACGAGGUCCGCCAUCGGAAUGGGUACAAUUUAAAUCCUUUAACGAGGAUCUAUUGGAGGGCAAGUCUGGUGCCAGCAGCCGCGGUAAUUCCAGCUCCAAUAGCGUAUAUUAAAGUUGUUGCGGUUAAAAAGCUCGUAGUUGGAUCUGCGUUCGGUGAAAGCGGUCGCCCGACGGGUUGUACUGCUUCUCCCGAACUAAUCAUUCGGUUUUCCCUUGAUGCUCUUCAUUGAGUGUCCUGGGUGACCGGAACUUUUACUUUGAAAAAAUUAGAGUGCUCAAAGCAGGCGAUUCGCCCGAAUAUUCGUGCAUGGAAUAAUGAAAAAGGUCCUUGUAGCCUUUUAUUGGUUAUUGCUAUGAGGAAAUGAUCGAAGGGGACAGACGGGGGCAUUUGUAUUGCGACGUUAGAGGGAAAUCUGG
rnacentral:rRNA from 1 species